UUUAAAAUUUAAACAAACGAUAAACCUUUGCUUCCAUGGCUGAAAAACUUGAAAGGAAAGAACCAAAAAGCAUGAUGAAAAGCAGGAAGCUAGAUCGAGGAGCAGCGCAGAGAUAGUCUGAUAAUCGCAUAUGGCGAGAACGCAGAGUAGGCCUUUGGAGGAGAAGACAAGCGCGAGGAAGGGAAGUCUCGGUGCCGGUGACUGAAGGACCUCGGAGGCGUGCUUCACCAGCUUUCAGCUGUAGGGAGCCCAGUCAAGAGGGUGGAACCGCAUUCGCAAUCAAAAGGUGAAAAAAGCAAGGAACCCCAAAGGAGUUUCUGACGCCGAAAGGGAGGAAGCUGAAGAGAGUGAGAGGCUAGAAG